rnacentral:rRNA from 1 species
UAAUGGUGACCUCGGAUCA